rnacentral:lncRNA from 1 species
AUAGCAGAUGCCAUCAGAUAAUUUCUCCAAAUCCUCUGAGGUUGGUUUUUUGUUGGUUUUUGUUUUGUUUUGGGUUUUGUUUUUUUUUCAGAUGAUUGUUCUGUAUUAUUCAAGUAUGCUUUGGUGAUGAGAAUUAUAAACCUUGUCUUUUGUCUUUUCCCUUAGAAAUACAGAGUAAAGCACUUCACCAAAAGUCUACCCAAACCACAUAUGCUUAAAACUAAUUUUUUUUGUGACUCUAUGCUCCACACUGGAUUUUAAAGAAAAAGUUUAGCAUCACCUCAGAGACACCAGCCUGUGAAUCAAUAUGUAAAUAACCACCACCAAUUACCCCUUGAAGGCUGCAAAUGAAAAUGUUGCAUGCUGAGAUUAUUCAAAUUCUCAACAGGAAGAGAGGCAGAGGGUCUUCAGUGGAAAAGAAUUUCACCAGUAAAUCAUUCUUUGAGGAAGAAAUCCAACAUUUUGAAGUGAUUCUGCUAGAAUGAUAUCCACAUUCCUUAAUUUUAACUACUGCAGAUGUUGUUUACCAUAUCUCUACCUCCCAAGCCCAUCCUACAAAACAGUCACUCUGUGUUGGAAACAGAAAUUACAUCCUCUAAGAAUUUCCAUAUUGGCAGAGGAAAUUUAACUCCCUGCAUGAUUAAUGGCCCAGGCAGUGCUCUAUCAAACACAGAGUGUGCACUGGGGUGUUGGAUGCCUCUGACAGCCCAGGAGUGAUGAUCCUUGGGAGGGAUGCAAAGCAGACCGUGACAGAAUUGCCGUUGCCGACGCCUCCUGCCACAUCAAUAAAACGGCGGCGCACAACA